rnacentral:rRNA from 1 species
AACGAACGCUGGCGGCAUGCCUAACACAUGCAAGUCGAACGAGACCUUCGGGUCUAGUGGCGCACGGGUGCGUAACGCGUGGGGACCUGCCCUUAGGUUCGGAAUCACUCCCCGAAAGGGGUGCUAAUACCGGAUAAUGUCUUCGGACCAAAGAUUUAUCGCCUUUGGAUGGGCCCGCGUUGGAUUAGCUAGUUGGUAGGGUAAAAGCCUACCAAGGCGACGAUCCAUAGCUGGUCUGAGAGGAUGAUCAGCCACACUGGGACUGGGACACGGCCCAGACUCCUACGGGAGGCAGCAGUGGGGAAUAUUGGACAAUGGGCGAAAGCCUGAUCCAGCAAUGCCGCGUGAGUGAUGAAGGCCUUAGGGUUGUAAAGCUCUUUUACCCGGGAUGAUAAUGACAGUACCGGGAGAAUAAGCUCCGGCUAACUCCGUG